GUGCCUGGCUGGCUGAGGGAGCUACAGGACCUUGAACAGAGCAGUGCUAGCAAAGAUGGGGGAGGGGAGCAAGACGGCAUUCUGUGCUGGCUUCUGGGACUCAACCAGGACAACGCCCUGAGAUAAUGGUGAAGCGUAUAGCUACGUAAAGACUGAAUCCUUUAAGGAAUGAAGGGAUCCAUCCAUCUUGUCCAUGGUUUCGAUUCUUUAAAGGGAAGAUCUUCAGCCAUAGAUUGUAUCUCUUCAGGAAAUCCUGAGAAGUGAAGCCAUGACGGCCUUCAUAUAACUACAACUGGAGACAUCUAUUGGGAAGCUCUGUCGGCUGUGUCUAAGGAAGCUUGUAAGGCCAUCCUAGCCAGAAGGUGGGUGGUACUAUGGCAGAUGUCUGCUAGACAGCCUUAACUGGGUCCAUCAGAGCCUCAUUUAUGGGGAGUGCAAUUUUUGAUGAGGUUGAUGUUUGGAGUAUAUCCAGUAACUUAUGUUGAGACUCUAUAACUUCUUCCAAAGAUAUGUGUAGUGAGUCUGCAAUUCUCUCAAAUAGUUCUUGGAAUUAAUUAAAAUCAUUGGCUGUUGGUGGAGAAGGCAUGAUAGUAUUUCCCCCGGACAAGGCUGAUUGGUCGGGUGGCUUCCUGAUCCAUCCUCUCCCCCUGGUCCUCAAAAGUCUUCUCCUGAGGUUGCCUGUAUGUAACCCAUGGAUCCCAGUAAGGCCAUUGUUGUCAGAAUGGCAUGUGUGGCAUCCAUGUAUGUCUGUACCAUCUAUGUACAUAACCCUCAGGCUGAAAUCUGGACUUAUGAGAAAGAAGUAAAUGUCCUUUUCCUCAUCAUCGUCCUCCUCACUAGAUAAGGGAGAAGAUCUGGAUGGUGGUAUUGAAUGUGACAGUGCCGAGCUCACUGGGGAUGCGAUGUGUACCAGAGCAAUAUUGGUACCGAGGAGAUUCCGGUAUU